GACGAACGCUGGCGGCGUGCUUAACACAUGCAAGUCGAACGGAAAGGCCCUGCUUUUGUGGGGUGCUCGAGUGGCGAACGGGUGAGUAACACGUGAGUAACCUGCCCUUGACUUUGGGAUAACUUCAGGAAACUGGGGCUAAUACCGGAUAGGAGCUCCUGCUGCAUGGUGGGGGUUGGAAAGUUUCGGCGGUUGGGGAUGGACUCGCGGCUUAUCAGCUUGUUGGUGGGGUAGUGGCGUACCAAGGGUUUGACGGGUAGCCGGCCUGAGAGGGUGACCGGCCACAUUGGGACUGCGAUACGGCCCAGACUGCUACGGGAGGCAGCAGUGGGGAAUAUUGCGGAAUGGGCGGAAGCCUGAUGCAGCAACGCCGCGUGCGGGAUGACGGCCUUCGGGUUGUAAACCGCUUUCGCCUGUGACGAAGCGUGAGUGACGGUAAUGGGUAAAGAAGCACCGGCUAACUACGUG
rnacentral:rRNA from 1 species